CUCGGGCGUAGCGGCUAGACCGGGCUGUGGCGAUAGAGUCCAAAGGAAGGCAGGAUGACUUCAAAGAUCUGCUAGUGCACCUGGAUUCUGGUUUUCUUACUAUUCAGCUUCAUGACCUUGAACAAACUUUACUCAGCUUGGCUGUGCCUCAGUUUAGUCAUCUGGAAAGGAAGGGGAUAGGACUAUAACUAAAUAUAAUUCUAGAUCAUUUUAAGUAUCAUCUGUGCACUCACGCAAUAUGUGCAUGGAACGUGGAGGCGAGAGUACAAAAGGCAUGGUGCUUGCCUAUCGACAUGAGGCCCCUACAACCCAGGGAAGGCCCGGUGGUCCAGGAUCCAGUGCUGCUCCCCAUGUGCCCAUCUCACAUGCUGCUCGGCACCAGCAGCCAUCACCACUCCACUUCUCUCAAGAGAUGGAGGAAGGAGGUCCCAAGCCAAGGAAUGCAGCAUGGGCCUCUAGAAGCUGGAAUGACCCUCACCUCACGGCCAGCAAGAAAUCAGGGAACUCAGUCUUACCCGAGUGAGCAGGAAAUCGAUUCUCCUCUGCAGCCUCUAUAGAGAACACAGCCUGUCAACACCCUGAUUUUGGCCCAAUGAGCCCUGUACCUCCAGAAGUGUAACGUAAUAAAUUUGUGUUGUUUUAAGCUAUUAAGCUGUGGUUAAUUUGUUAUGGCGCCAAGAGAAAACUAACAUGACACAUACUUCUCUAUAUAUUCUUCCCUUCUAG
rnacentral:lncRNA from 1 species